rnacentral:rRNA from 1 species
GACGAACGCUGGCGGCGUGCUUAACACAUGCAAGUCGAACGAAGAGCGAUGGAAGCUUGCUUCUAUCAAUCUUAGUGGCGAACGGGUGAGUAACGCGUAAUCAACCUGCCCUUCAGAGGGGGACAACAGUUGGAAACGACUGCUAAUACCGCAUACGAUCUGACCCCGGCAUCGAGGAUAGAUGAAAGGUGGCCUCUACAUGUAAGCUAUCACUGAAGGAGGGGAUUGCGUCUGAUUAGCUAGUUGGAGGGGUAACGGCCCACCAAGGCGAUGAUCAGUAGCCGGUCUGAGAGGAUGAACGGCCACAUUGGGACUGAGACACGGCCCAGACUCCUACGGGAGGCAGCAGUGGGGAAUCUUCCGCAAUGGACGAAAGUCUGACGGAGCAACGCCGCGUGAGUGAUGACGGCCUUCGGGUUGUAAAGCUCUGUUAAUCGGGACGAAAGGCCUUUUUGCGAAUAGUGAGAAGGAUUGACGGUACCGGAAUAGAAAGCCACGGCUAACUACGUG